UCUCCCCAAAGUCCCCUCGGUACACUGUUGUGUAUUUUUUGUUGUGGCUCCUUCUAGUUGUGGCAUGUGAGAUGCUGCCUCAGCAUGGCUUGAUGAGCGGUGCCAUGUCCGCGCCCAGGAUUUGAACCGGUGAAACCCCAGACCCCAAAGCCGAGCAGGCAAGCUUAACCACUCGGCCAUGGGGUGGCCCCUGGUUGCUUUUAGUAUGACACAUUUAUAAAUAUAUUUUUUCCCGAUGAAGUAAUUUAGCCUUAAAACUAGAACUGAAUCAUUUGCUAAAAAUAGAAAAUUUUCAGGUUUAUUUGUGAUUUCAAAUUUUUAUGUGGCUCAAGACAGCAAUUGGUAUAAAUUUGAACUUUAAAAAUAAACUUGUACUACAUGACGAUCAAAUGCAAGAUACAAACUCUAACUGGAUCCUAAACAAAAAACAAAAAAGGGGAGGAAGAAAACGGAAGUUCUGGAGGUCAGAAGUCUAAAAUCGAGGUGUUGGUGGGACUGCAUUCUUUCUAGAUGCUGCAGGAGAGAAUGUUUCCUUGCUUUUUUUGGCUUCGAGAAGCUGCCUGCAUUCCUCGGCCGGUGAGCUCUUCCUUGCGUCACUCCAACCCUCUUGCUUCUGUCAUGCCAUCUUCCAGUGGUAACUCUGGGACCCCGCCUCCCUCUAAUAAGGACCCUUGUGAUUUACCUCAGGCCCCUCUGCAUAAUCCAGGAUAAUCUCUCCGUCUCAAGACCCUUAACUUCAUCACACCUGCAAAAUCCCUUUUACCAGCAUGGCUUUUGCCAAGCGGUGCCAUGUCUGCACCCAGGAUCUGAACCGGCAAACCCCAGGCCUCCCAAGUGGAACGUGCGCACUUGACUGCUGUGCCACCGGGCUGGCCCCAUUGUUUUUCUUAAACUAUGAUCGCCUUGGACCAGUGGUUUCUAGAUGUUUUGAUUUUCCAAUUAUUAAAAUUUCCAAAAAAUUUCUGGUGUACUGCUUUUUACCAUCAUUCUACAAAAGAAAGGCCAUUUCAAGACUAAAAACAGUAAGAAUGACUUGACCCCAAAUGAAAGGACUUUUCUUUGAAACAGGAAAUCCAUUUAGCUUUAUGGAAAACACGACUAUGUUUUGUUAACUUCUCUCUCUUCCCUCGACGCAAAUAGAGGAAAGCUGAGGGUCGACAUCAGUUUGGGGAAGGCUGGGGGCGGGGGCGGGGCUUAGACUAACAAUAUCAGGGCCUGUGGUGCCCUCUUGUGGCAGCCUGGGGAGUUACUUCCACCUGACCACUGCCUCUGCUUUGGAGGGACAACUCCCUCACACACCUCAGUCAGUCAGUCAUGC
rnacentral:lncRNA from 1 species